rnacentral:lncRNA from 1 species
UUUUAAUUACCCUCCCCCCACGUUUUUUUACCAAAACCGAUUUCUCUCUCUCUCUCUGCUUGAAUUUCAUCCGCCAUUGUCGAAGCUUGAACAGUUUCAGAUCGAUAAGUUCUUCUCAAUCCACCAUACUUUCAGUCCAUAAAAUUGUAUCAAAGCCAAAAACCCUCUACAAAAUCGAUUUCUCUCUCUCUGCUUUGAAGUCGGAUAACAUAUCAGUUUGUAUGUCCUUUGACGUGUAAACAGUCUUAGGAUCACAAUACUUUGGAACGACAAUGCUACCAACUAUCGUUGCAGUACAUUUGCGCUGUAUGAAUGUUUCGUCCAUUCGGCAACAUUUUUGUUGUCGGCUAAAACUUCUUAUCUUGAACAAUGAAGAA